rnacentral:rRNA from 1 species
GACGGGGGAUGCAAGCGUGAUCCGGAAUUAUUGGGCGUAAAGCGUCCGCAGGUGGUUGUUCAAGUCUGCUGUCAAAGCGCAGAGCUUAACUCUGUACAGGCGGUGGAAACUGAAGAGCUAGAGUAUGGUAGGGGUAGAGGGAAUUCCCGGUGUAGCGGUGAAAUGCGUAGAUAUCGGGAAGAACACCAGUGGCGAAAGCGCUCUACUGGGCCAUAACUGACACUGAGGGACGAAAGCUAGGGGAGCGAAAGGG